rnacentral:rRNA from 1 species
UACGUAGGGUGCAAGCGUUGUCCGGAAUUAUUGGGCGUGAAGAGCUCGUAGGCGGUUCGUCGCGUCGGCUGUGAAAUCCCGAGGCUCAACCUCGGGUCUGCAGUCGAUACGGGCGGACUGGAGUUCGGCAGGGGAGACUGGAAUUCCUGGUGUAGCGGUGAAAUGCGCAGAUAUCAGGAGGAACACCGGUGGCGAAGGCGGGUCUCUGGGCCGAUACUGACGCUGAGGAGCGAAAGCGUGGGGAGCGAACAGG